ACUUGCCACAUAAGAGAUACUUUUAGUUUAGUAAAUCAAAUUGUUCUACUCCUUUUAACAAUACUAGGCUUGCCAUUUCCAUUAUUUUACAGGAUUUCUCUUAUUCACCAUAUCUUCAGUGCCCAGCAUUAUUCCUGGAAUAUUCAAUAAGAUCUGUUUGCAGUGAACGAUUGUUUGGAUGAAUCAUUGUAUGUACUCUGCUACAUUUUACAUAUCUGCUUUUUGAGGAAUAAAUACCAGAAAGAAGUGGCCUACAUAAAUCCAAAUGGCUUUAGACAUUUCAAGUACUGGAAAACAAGAUUAUAACUAUUUAUGAAGAAAUGGAACAUCCUUGCUGAAAUCAUCCUGCAACAAGUUGUGCUUUCAUUUAUAAUUGAAAACACCAAACUCUAAUGCUUGAAAAUAAAAUCUAAUAAUCUGUAGUGGGUUGAAUCCAUGGAUGAAGAACCCAUCAAUAUGGAGGACUGACUGUAGCUUUCUUGCUGAUCAAGUUAGAGAAAAUAGGUAUCUUAAAGAUCAUCCUCUUCCAUCUUUGUUCAUCGAAUAGUCAU
rnacentral:lncRNA from 1 species